GCUUACAGCCAUACCACUCUGACCGUGCCUGAUCUCGGAAGCUUAGCAGGGUUGGGCUUGGUUAGUACUUGGAUGGGAGGCCACCUGGGAAUACCAGGUGCUGUAAGCC
rnacentral:rRNA from 1 species